rnacentral:misc_RNA from 1 species
GAUGAAGAACGUAGCGAAAUGCGAUAAGUAGUGUGAAUUGCAGAAUUCAGUGAAUCAUCGAAUCUUUGAACGCACAUUGCGCCUCCUGGUAUUCCGGGAGGCAUGCCUGUUCGAGCGUCAUUAAAAUCACUCAAGCUUAGGUUUACCUAUUGCUUGGUCUUGGAGAUGGAAGCCAAUUUAUUGGAAUCCUCUUCGAAAUUCAAUGGCGAAGACCCUUGCUCUCCCAAGUGUAGUAAUAACUUAUGUCACUGAAGGAAGCGAGAAAUCUUCUGCCGUAACCCCCCUAUUUUCUAUGAUUGACCUCGGAUCAGGUAGGGAUACCCGCUGAACUUAAGCAUAUCAAUAAGCGGAGGA